rnacentral:rRNA from 1 species
CAGCCGCCGCGGUAACACGUAGGUGGCAAGCGUUGUCCGGAAUUAUUGGGCGUAAAGGGCUCGCAGGCGGUUUCUUAAGUCUGAUGUGAAAGCCCCCGGCUCAACCGGGGAGGGUCAUUGGAAACUGGGAAACUUGAGUGCAGAAGAGGAGAGUGGAAUUCCACGUGUAGCGGUGAAAUGCGUAGAGAUGUGGAGGAACACCAGUGGCGAAGGCGACUCUCUGGUCUGUAACUGACGCUGAGGAGCGAAAGCGUGGGGAGCGAACAGGAUUAGAUACCCCUGUAGUCCCUGUCUCUUAUAU